CAGCAGCCGCGGUAAUACGUAGGGUGCAAGCGUUAACCGGAAUUACCGGGCGUAAAGCGUGCGCAGGCGGUUUGUUAAGACAGAUGUGAAAUCCCCGGGCUCAACCUGGGAACUGCAUUUGUGACUGGCAAGCUAGAGUGUGGCAGAGGGGGGUGGAAUUCCGCGUGUAGCAGUGAAAUGCGUAGAUAUGCGGAGGAACACCGAUGGCGAAGGCAGCCCCCUGGGCCAACACUGACGCUCAUGCACGAAAGCGUGGGGAGCAAACAGGAUUAGAUACCCGCGUAGUCCCUGUCUCUUAUAC
rnacentral:rRNA from 1 species